CUGAUGCAGCGACGCCGCGUGAGGGAUGGAGGCCUUCGGGUUGUAAACCUCUUUCGCCAGUGAAGCAGGCCUGUCCCUUGUGGGUGGGUUGACGGUAGCUGGAUAAGAAGCGCCGGCUAACUACGUGCCAGCAGCCGCGGUAAUACGUAGGGCGCGAGCGUUGUCCGGAAUUAUUGGGCGUAAAGAGCUCGUAGGCGGCUGGUCGCGUCUGUCGUGAAAUCCUCUGGCUUAACUGGGGGCUUGCGGUGGGUACGGGCCGGCUUGAGUGCGGUAGGGGAGACUGGAACUCCUGGUGUAGCGGUGGAAUGCGCAGAUAUCAGGAAGAACACCGGUGGCGAAGGCGGGUCUCUGGGCCGUUACUGACGCUGAGGAGCGAAAGCGUGGGGAGCGAACAGGAUUAGAUACCCUGGUAGUCCACGCCGUAAACGUUGGGCACUAGGUGUGGGGGGCCUUUUCCGGGUCUUCCGCGCCGUAGCUAACGCAUUAAGUGCCCCGCCUGGGGAGUACGGCCGCAAGGCUAAAACUCAAAGGAAUUGACGGGGGCCCGCACAAGCGGCGGAGCAUGCGGAUUAAUUCGAUGCAACGCGAAGAACCUUACCAAGGCUUGACAUGUGCCGGUCGGCUCGGAGACGGGGUU
rnacentral:rRNA from 1 species